AAAUCACCAAGAUCGCUGAGGUC
rnacentral:misc_RNA from 1 species